AAAUCCUGCAGAAUGCAGAUUUUUGAUUCUUUAGCUCUCGAAACCUCCCACAACGCACUUUUACUCAUUUUAAUACCUUCGAACUUUCUGAAGUAUACCAUCCUCGCACUUUGGUCAAUUUGACUAAAGUUCGAUAUUUAUUUUCCGAAUUUUCGGUAUAUUACAUUCUCCACCUCUUAAAAUAAUUUCAUUUGCGAAAUUAGACAUACCUUAACUUGUCGACUCAAAUAAACGU
rnacentral:lncRNA from 1 species